rnacentral:rRNA from 1 species
UACAGAGGUGGCAAGCGUUGUUCGGAUUCAUUGGGCGUAAAGGGUGUGUAGGUGGCGCCGUAAGUCGGGUGUGAAAUCUCGGGGCUUAACUCCGAAACUGCAUUCGAUACUGCGGUGCUUGAGGACUGGAGAGGAGACUGGAAUUCAUGGUGUAGCAGUGAAAUGCGUAGAGAUCAUGAGGAAGACCAGUGGCGAAGGCGGGUCUCUGGACAGUUCCUGACACUGAGGCACGAAGGCCAGGGGAGCAAACGGG